AAGCGCCCCAUCGCUGUUCCGCCUGCGCUAUUCUUUUUUUUUUCUUUUGCUUUUCUUUCGUUGUUUCAUGGCUGCCUCUUGUUUUCGCUUCUUGCUGUUCUCCCUCUCCUGUCCACAUCUGUACAAAACUGCCGUCGUUGCCUUUAACGUCAAUGCAAGUGUUUUGCGGCAUGCCGCUCCCACAAGGCAUAGAGGAGAAAUAAAAGAGGCGCAUGUGUGCCCAACAAAGUCCAUGGAAAGAACCACGUAGAAGAAUGGAGUACGCUCAUGCAUCACUGAAUGCAGGAGGCCUAUUUCCUCUCCCUCCCUCCCUCCCCGGCGGAACCCGGCUGAUCCGCGGAGUGUGGACCCUCAACUCCCUCGUUUAGGGGAGUGCGGAGACCACCAUCACGCGGUUUAGAGGAUAGCUGUUCGGC
rnacentral:misc_RNA from 1 species